CACAGUCUCACACACGUACAGGCUGAAGUGAAUGCAGAGAGAGAGGAGGGGAAAGCAGAGCACAAGCGAAAGAAGGUUAGCCAGCAGCGAGUGAAGAAAAUGGCGAUCACGCAGGAUGAAUGCCUCCCCUCGUAGAUGCUGCAAACGCGUUGAAUUUCUUUAGCCUUACAGUCGGCUUUCCUUUCCACUCUGUUGCACUUUAUACUUCAAUGAGAGAUUAGGAAUUGGAAGCUGUUGCCACCAAAGAAACUGAAGCAUCUUAACAGGGAACACACCCACAGAGGGAAGAACAGUGGAUGGAAGAGAGAGAGAGACGGAGAGUGUGACAAGGAAGGAGGAUAAGAAGAUACGGGACUGGACAAAAGGGAACUUUCAGUGAUUCCACGGAAGGCGAUGCCAUCGCUCAGGGCUUGGACUAACCGUUUGUAUUGAUUUGCCAUUGCAAAGGUAGUAGUUCUCUGUGAGUACUCAUUGUCUGUGUGAUUUAUCUGCUUCUGCCUCUUCUUAGAACUUCUGUUGGCACAGAGCUAUUUAUCUAUGAGCGAUGUGCCAUUAAAAACGGUCCAGGUCUCCAUGUGCAACAGGCCCAUUUCGCUAAGCACCAAAUGCAAUUAUACAUAGUAAGCAAGGAUAUGAUUAAUAUUGCAUAUCAACAGAAUGGUACUCCGGGUAGUAUGAAGGAUCACUGUAAGCUUAAAAUAGUCUCAUAACCCUUGGUGCUGCAGUUUUUGUUU
ensembl:lncRNA